rnacentral:rRNA from 1 species
GCCAGCGGCGGUAGCACGGUGAAUGCAUCCAAUCGGCCACUGAAGUUAAGCAAGGUUGUGCGUGGUUGAUAUGUGGAUGGAUGACCAUCUAGACAAUCGCGUGCUGCUAGCU